rnacentral:misc_RNA from 1 species
AACUGAUACUACCUGCGGGAACCUGCGGAAGGAUCAUUACUGAAUGUUACCAAACAUAAACCCUUGUGAACCUUCUGUAUUUCUGCCUUGGCAGGUAAUCCCAGGGCGGGAUUCUGGGCCUCUUCGGGGGCACCUGCCAGCGGUGGAACAUUUUCAUACUCUGAAUUACAGUGGAUUUCUGAGUGUCUUCCAAAAAUAAAUUAAAACUUUCAACAACGGAUCUCUAGAUCGGAAGAGCAC